rfam:Ovis aries breed Texel chromosome 16, whole genome shotgun sequence.
UCCUUGGUGGCUUAGAUGGUAAAGAAUCUGCCUGCAAUGCAGGAGACCUGGGUUCGAUCCCUGGUUGGGAAG